rnacentral:rRNA from 1 species
UCAAUCAAGCUGGUAACAAUCAGAGGCUCCUCUUGCCUAGGCUCUAAGCCAGGAACUUGCAGGACACGUCAUGCUUUGGACUUGGCCCCCCUCUAUGUUCCUUGGAACAGGACGUCACAGAGGGUGAGAAUCCCGUGCGAUGGGGAGACCAAUUCUAUGUAAAGUUCCUUCGAAGAGUCGAGUUGUUUGGGAAUGCAGCUCUAAGUGGGUGGUAAAUUCCAUCUAAAGCUAAAUAUUGGCGAGAGACCGAUAGCGAACAAGUACAGUGAUGGAAAGAUGAAAAGAACUUUGAAAAGAGAGUGAAAAAGUACGUGAAAUUGUUGAAAGGGAAGGGCUUUUGAUCAGACUUGGUGUUUAGUACUCUCUACUCCUUGUGGGUGGGGCUCUUGCUUUAUACUGGGCCAGCAUCGGUUUGGAUGGUAGGAUAAUAGCAUUGGAAUGUGGCUUCAUUCGUGAAGUGUUAUAGCCCUUGUUGAUACUACCUAUCUAGACCGAGGACUGCGUCUUUUGACUAGGAUGCUGGCGUAAUGAUUAAAAAGC